CGAUUGCAGUUACAUCUGAUUUCCCGUGGAAGUCAAGCUAUGAAGCACUUUGUAGUCCUCAAACUAAGCAGGCGGAGAGACUUCUGGUGUUUGUCUGGAGGGCUGUUGGCCCAGUUGGGCGGGGUUUAGUGUAAUGGCUCUGUUCUCCACUAGAUGGCGCCGCUCAGCGUACUGGGGUAGAUUGUUACAGCGCGUGUAGGCGUGUCUGCGCAUGCGCGGGAGGGGUGAAAAUGGCGUCUCCCAGGUACCCGAUCUCCAGUAUUGGAAGUCUGUGCUCUCCCUGACCGGCAAUCAAAUACCCCUCCUUUUUUGCUGGUUUCCAUCUACUCCCCGCUUUGACACUGUCCGUGACCAGGCCGUCAGGCUGCUAGGCAGCGCCUGUCUCCUGAGUUUCAUCUCAGAUGCGGCUGUGUUUCCCGACCCCUCACUUCUGAGGGACUGCGGCUUUGGCCCGCUCAGAUCCUCUGGGGAAGGGUCUCACUGAGCAAUGGCCGGUGCUGGCGGCACCCAGGAACGUUCGCUGGACUGUGCUGCUGCCGGUGCCCUGAGACUGCGGCCGGGUGCCAGCCGGCCCCAGAAAAAGUUCGCGAGAUAGUGUAGCAGCAGCGUUUCAGGGAUUAUGGAAAAUCACAGCACACAUCUGGCGCCAGGCUUCACCCUUAACGUCCUUGUUCCAGCACCAGUGAAUGUCCUCGUUCUCCGCGGUCCACUGGGAGACGUCGUCCAGCAGGGGAACCACCACAUCCUGUGUGGCCUGCGGACCCCUUGGACCAUGCUCUCUGCUCCUGGAGAUUCACCCUUCUCACCAGAGCAACGCCAGAUGGCAGUUCCAGUUGCUUACACUGCAGCACUCUGUUUAAGAGUCUAGACUUCUAAAGUUUAUACAACCAAUUAAGGCUGAUUUUUAGAAUCUUUAAACAGCAACAGCCAGAAAACAUCAGUAUGACUACUCUAAGAUGAUUAAGAAAUCUGUGCAUCAAUUGGAAAGGUAAAUCUCCUUGCCAGUUGACAGUCUUCAGGCCAACAGAAGCCGUGUAUUCUUUAUUAUUCCAAGGUCUGAUAGUUAAGGAAUGUUUUACUCUUAGUGGAAAUGCAGAUCUGAAAACACUGCUAAAGUAUCUAUCUUUUCCUAUUGGGUGGAUGACUUCUCUCCAAGUUUGGGGAACAUUUGACAACCAUUCAAAACCACAGGGCUUUAACAGAGAAUAAAAAUAAUCCUCUUACCUCAGGUGGGAUCAGUUUACUUUUUUUCCUUCUUCCAGAGUUAUUGAGGCAAGUUUUGCUAAGCAUAAAUGUCUGAUGAUAAGUACCUUUUAAUAGUGUCAUUAUGUGGUCAACUUUGCUCAAAUUUAGGAAAAUUUGACAUUUACAGAGCUAAUAGCCCUUUCAAUGUGCAUUGAUACUUCUAUUAAAUUUAACGACUUUAAAUCAGUGAUGGAAGGAAGAACGUUAGAAUCUUUGGAAAAAGGGCUACAAAUACUUGCAACUCCUUCUUUUUGAUAGUCCCUUCUCAGAACUGUUGCAUGCAAUGAAAGGCAUCGGCCUUAUAAGGGAGUUUUAUGGCCAUGUAAAUAAUUGGAGAUAGCACCCUCCAAUAAAAACAUCUGGCAUUCCCUCCUCCAAUCCACCUUCCAAACACCAAGCUUUCCCUUGUGGAUGGAACUUAUGCCAAAUUAAAAAAAUUCAAUUGACAUACUACUCUGUAUCCUUCUUUCUUUUCAGAGAGUUUAUCAAUAAAGUUGUUUUUGACUCUGUUAAAGGCUAUGUAUCUCAUUUAUCUAACUGAUAAAUCACCAUAAACAAAAGGUUAAAGUAACUUGUCUUCAGAAUUCUCAACUUAUAAAUUCAGUGUGUUCUAUAGGUUAGUAACUCGAAAUGUACUUUUUGCUAAAAAACAAUGCUAUUAAUGAUUGCUGAGUUUUGUAACUGGUUUACAAAAUCAUAUAUAAAUUAGUAUGGCUCCAGAACUAUUAUUUGUAAUAUGGGUAUAAGCCCUACAUCCUGGGAAGAGAGAAAAGGAAGUAUUUCUUUCCCUCUCCUUUUUCAAUAUCAAAUUAGGCAAGGCAUAUUCGUGUCCUGUACUAACUUUUAUGAACCAGUUUCUCAAAUUCCAGUACUCUAUUCCUACAGUAAUGUCCCCAUAGUUUUCUUAAUGCCCUGCCCUUCCCUUUCUCUUCCUUUCUCCUUCUUUCUCUUCCUUUUCCUUUCCCUUUCCCUCCUUUCCUUUCCCUAAGGAGAACACACAAAUUCCAGGGUAAACCCCCAAUAAUACUAUAUGACCAAUGAUUACUCAUCUCUGCAAAUUCAAAUAUUCAUGUCUAGGCUAUUUAUUCUAGACCUAUUUGACAUUUUUCAAAGAUGCUCAUGUCUAUUUGACCAAAUUAAUUUCUAAAUGGUGGAAAUUUGGACAGUUUUGCUUAGAGAAUUUCAAGCAGUGAUAGAGAAACUAUCUGGGGGCAGUUGGAACAAACAAGUAGAUCAGCAAACACUAGGAUCCUACAUCUAGGAUAUAAAAAUUGCAUACUUUUGCCUCUGAUAGUUCCUUGCCUUUUUUACAAACUCCAUAGUAUGUUUUUUGUUUUCAAGAAAGUUUUUUCAGGGGUACCUGGGUGGCUCAGUCAGUUAAGUGUCUGACUUGGGCC